rnacentral:rRNA from 1 species
CCUACGGGUGGCAGCAGUGGGGAAUAUUGGACAAUGGGGGGAACCCUGAUCCAGCCAUGCCGCGUGUGUGAAGAAGGCCCUCGGGUUGUAAAGCACUUUCAGUGAGGAAGAACGCCUGGUGGUUAAUACCCAUCAGGAAAGACAUCACUCACAGAAGAAGCACCGGCUAACUCCGUGCCAGCAGCCGCGGUAAUACGGAGGGUGCGAGCGUUAAUCGGAAUUACUGGGCGUAAAGCGCGCGUAGGUGGCUUGAUAAGCCGGUUGUGAAGGCCCCGGGCUCAACCUGGGAACGGCAUCCGGAACUGUCAAGCUAGAGUGCAGGAGAGGAAGGUAGAAUUCCCGGUGUAGCGGUGAAAUGCGUAGAGAUCGGGAGGAAUACCAGUGGCGAAGGCGGCCUUCUGGACUGACACUGACACUGAGGUGCGAAAGCGUGGGUAGCAAACAGGAUUAGAUACCCCUGUAGUC